UCUCAGCAGCAUGUGAGCUCUCCAGAUCAUCUUGUCUCAGCUUUAGAGGUAUGGAUCCACGCAUCCCUCCACCUUCCCUCCACCCCGCUAAUCACGGAACUGGGCUGAACCAGCCUGUAAACCAUUUACACUUUACUCAACUGGAAGCCUCUCCAAACUGCUGAGAAAGGCACGUUUGUUUCUGAAGAGGCAAGAGGUAUCUCUUCCCUCCUCCAGAGAUGACUUCUCCUCAACUCCUGUAUUUUGCUUUUCCUGAUGCAGAGGCUUCUCCCAGAAGACCAUAUUCCUAGCUGCAGGACUUCACUGUGGAAUGGAGCAGCUUUAAAAUACAAGAACAUUUGUAACUGUCCCAGGAGUUGCAUUUCUGCAUAACCUGCUUUAUAAGACACUUUUAUCCAUACUGUCAUUCCCACAUCAGUCACUAAAGCAGAAACAGUCCAUUCUUUCUCUCUGGUUUCUCCACAGCUUCUGCUUGUCUGUCAGCAUAGCUUUUAACUCAAGG
ensembl:lncRNA